GCCGAAGUGGCGGAAUUGGCAGACGCGCUAGCUUCAGGAGCUAGUGGGGUUCCCCCAUGGAGGUUCGAGUCCUCUCUUCGGCACCA
rnacentral:tRNA from 2 species